UUUUUUUCAGCUGUUUAUUCUAUUAUUUAGUUGUUUAUCAAUGUUGGGCAGGACUGGACCGAUGGGACAGGCACGCACAGCGAACGCAGCUCCGAUCCGAGUGUAGGUGUCUGCGGCGAUUGCUGCAUGUUGCCGGGCCCAUUGGGAGUGUGAGUAUUUUUUUGAUUUAGUGGCAAUUUCGUGGAGCAAAAAGAUUGUGGAAUGCCUCGAGGGUGGACUUGAAAAGACUGAAAAGGCGGAAAUUGAAGCAGGAGUGGGGCUAACAAGCCGCAACUGGAACAACCAGAAAGACUCCCGCUAAAGUGAGUCGAAUCGAAGUGGUACGAGGAUUGAGAGAACCAAUUACCAGAGAGCCCAAAGAAAGCCAAAGAAGCGAAGUGGAGAUCGCUCGAAUACUUG
rnacentral:lncRNA from 1 species